GAGGGUUUAGCUUAGUUAAAGUAAUUGACUUGCAUUCAGUUGACGUAGGAUAGAUUCCUGCAACCCUUA
rnacentral:tRNA from 2 species